AAAGGGUAGUUUUGAAAAAUUUUACUUUUAUGAAUUAAUAUUUUUCCAACCUAUGUACCUCAACACUUUUCCCUUUUCACUCUAUCAUACAGGAACAACACAAUGAUAGUUUGCAGGGAGAUUUACUAUUAUACUUAAUAUAGGAGCUCAAAUUAUUAAUAAAAAAAAAUUAUCAGAAAUAGACUUUUUAAACACACCCAAAGCCUAUUUACAACAUAACAAAAAGACUUUUAACUUCUUUUAAAUACAAAACUGCCACUGAUUU
rnacentral:lncRNA from 1 species